AUCUUAUUCAAUCACACUAUCCGAUCCUCAUUUUGUGUUGCUGCAUGACAUACAGGUUCGAAAUAGAUUGCGCAGAAGUUGCGACGCUCCAUUGAGCAACUCGGAGAUGUGCUCUUGGUAACUAUUGUCACCGAUUAAAGCCACGAAAUGAACCUGCGGUGUUCUCUCUUACUUUGUGAAAACUUGACCCCGAACUCCAUUUAUUGCUCUGAAAAGCAACGCUCGACUUACCCUCUCUGGGGUCAGGCUACGCCACCACGUGGCUUAUUUCACUUUUCGAUUCUCUCUCUCCCUCCCUAGUUCAAUCGCUUGAGUGAACAGUACCCUGACGGUUUAACCGCAUAACACAACACAGAUCUGCAGCAGACUCCAUAAAGCCGUUAUUCCCCUAAACCCAGACCCACACUUCGGUCUAUAGUUUAUAUUUCCAGAGCCUGAGCAUUGAUCGCUUGAGAAGCCGGCUCUAGACCUACUGUUAAAACAUGUUUCAUUGGGGAGGGGGGUGUCGAUUCCUUUACAUCACUCUUGUACUCGCGGGCGAUGGUUGAUCUUUCAAUCUUCAAAUUAUGCGUUCGAAUGUUCAUCCGAAUUAUUUCGACAUUAUAUCUUUGAGCGAAAAAUUUCCUUCCAGCCAAUUGUUAAGGCUAACAAUAAUGAGCCGUCCAUCGGUCGAUCAGCUGAUCACGCGAUUCAGCUGCGGUUGUAGAUCGUUAAAUUAAUUUCAACGUUUGUUUCACACUUUUCGCGGUCUUACGUCUUUUGGAAUACAGUAAACGUGCACGAUUAUAGUGACUUGUGGUUUCCAACUCCGCGUGCAAUCCGUACACAACUUAGAUUGUAUGUAUGUGUAAUACUCGGUUCCUUGCAGGUAACUUUGUUAAUACUCCUAAGCGUGUAUAUGUGUAAUAUAUAUGUAUAUAUAUAUAUAUAUAUAGAAUACAACGUCGUGUAGGAUGAUGUUCACGAUAUGUAACCAUCAAGAAAGAAUAUCACAUGCACGUUUGUUCUCUGUUCAGUGUCAGUUGUUGUUGUUGUUAUUGUUGUCACUGUAACUUUGGCGUAAUUU